rnacentral:hammerhead_ribozyme from 15 species
AACUAGUCGGAAGCUGAUGUUGUUCUCCAGACAAGGCCAUGAUAGGCCGAAACUAGUU